AUGAGUCUCUACCUUCUGAGGAACUUUCAUGCCAUUUAUUUGGUGUGGUUGGAAAUCAGGACUGUUACUUUGAAAAAAUUAGAGUGUUUAAAGCAGGCUAACGUCUGAAUACAUUAGCAUGGAAUAAUGAAAUAGGACGGAUUGAUUCUAUUUCGUUGGUUUCUAGGGUCACCGUAAUGAUUAAUAGGGAUAGUUGGGGGCAUUAGUAUUCAAUUGUCAGAGGUGAAAUUCUUGGAUUUAUUGAAGACUAACUACUGCGAAAGCAUUUGCCAAGGAUGUUUUCAUUAAUCAAGAACGAAAGUUAGGGGAUCGAAGACGAUCAGAUACCGUCGUAGUCUUAACCAUAAACUAUGCCGACUAGGGAUCGGACGCAGUUAAUUUUAUAAUGACGUGUUCGGCACCUUACG
rnacentral:rRNA from 1 species